GGGGAUCGAAGACGAUCAGAUACCGUCGUAGUCUUAACCAUAAACUAUGCCGACUAGGGAUCAGGCGAGCACAAUUGAAACUCGCUUGGCACCCCGAGGGAAACCAAAGUUUUUGGGUUCUGGGGGGAGUAUGGUCGCAAGGCUGAAACUUAAAGGAAUUGACGGAAGGGCAUCACCGGGAGUGGAGCCUGCGGCUUAAUUUGACUCAACACGGGGAAACUUACCAGGUCCAGACAUUGUGAGGAUUGACAGAUUGAGAGCUCUUUCUUGAUUCAAUGGGUGGUGGUGCAUGGCCGUUCUUAGUUGGUGGAGUGAUUUGUCUGCUUAAUUGCGAUAACGAACGAGACUUUGACUUUUAAAUAGCUAGGCUAGCUUUGGCUGGUCGCCGGCUUCUUAGAAGGACUAUCUGCUCAAGCAGAUGGAAGUGCGAAGCAAUAACAGG
rnacentral:rRNA from 11 species